GAUGAACGCUGGCGGCGUGCCUAAUACAUGCAAGUCGAGCGGACAGACGAGGAGCUUGCUCCUCUGACGUUAGCGGCGGACGGGUGAGUAACACGUGGAUAACCUACCUAUAAGACUGGGAUAACUUCGGGAAACCGGAUCUAAUACCGGAUAAUAUAUUGAACCGCGGGGAUCAUUGGUGCAAGACGGCUUUGCUGGCACGUAUAGAUGGUUCCGCGCUGGAUUAGCUAGUUGGUACGGUAACGGCCUACCAAGGCAACGAUGCGUAGCCGACCUGAGAGGAUGAUAGGCCACACUGGAACUGAGACACGGUCCAGACUCCUACGGGAGGCAGCAGUAGGGAAUCUUCCGCAAUGGGCGAAAGCCUGACGCAGCAAUGCCGCGUGAGUGAUGAAGGCCUUCGGAUCGUAAAGCUCUGUUGUUGGGGAAGAACAGAUGUGUAAGUAAACAAGGACGUCUUGACGGUACCUGAUCAAAAAGCACCGGCUAACUACGUG
rnacentral:rRNA from 1 species